rnacentral:rRNA from 1 species
UACGUAGGGUGCAAGCGUUAAUCGGAAUUACUGGGCGUAAAGCGUGCGCAGGCGGUUUUGUAAGCCAGAUGUGAAAUCCCCGGGCUUAACCUGGGAACUGCAUUGUGACUGCAUUGCUGGAGUAUGGCAGAGGGGGGGGGUGGAAUUCCACGUGUAGCAGUGAAAUGCGUAGAGAUAUGGAAGAACAUCGAUGGCGAAGGCAACCUCCUGGUAACACUGACGCUCAUGCACGAAGCGUAGGGAGCGA